UAAGCCUGCGAGUCGAGAGGGUUUGGCCCUCGGCAGACUGCUCAGUAACACGUGGAUAACCUAACCUUAGGUGGAAGAUAACCUCGGGAAACUGAGAAUAAUAUUCCAUAGAUCUAGGGUGCUGGAAUGCAUCUAGAUUGAAAGUUCCGACGCCUAAGGAUGGGUCUGCGGACUAUCAGGUUGUAGUCAGGGUAAAGACCUGACUAGCCUACGACGGAUACGGGUUGUGAGAGCAAUAGCCCGGAGACGAUAUCUGAGACACGAUAUCGGGCCCUACGGGGCGCAGCAGGCGCGAAAUCCUCACAAUGUGCGAAAGCACGAUGAGGGGAUCCCAAGUGCUGGCACGUAAGUGUCAGCUGUUUCUUAGUCUAAAAAACUGAGAGAGUAAGGGCUGGGUAAGACGGGUGCCAGCCGCCGCGGUAAUACCUGCAGCUNAAGUGGUGGCCGCUAUUAUUGGGCCUAAAACGUCCGUAGCCUGUUUAGUNAAUGCNUUGGGGUAAAUUGUGNAGCUUUAACUAUNACGAAAUUCCGGGUAGACUUACUAAACCUUGGGGACCCGGGGAAGAGGCUNNGNAGGUACUCCCUGGGGGUUANAAGGNGAAAAUUCU
rnacentral:rRNA from 1 species